rnacentral:rRNA from 1 species
AUUGAACGCUGGCGGCAGGCUUAACACAUGCAAGUCGAGCGGGGGAAGGUAGCUUGCUACCGGACCUAGCGGCGGACGGGUGAGUAAUGCUUAGGAAUCUGCCUAUUAGUGGGGGACAACAUCUCGAAAGGGAUGCUAAUACCGCAUACGUCCUACGGGAGAAAGCAGGGGAUCUUCGGACCUUGCGCUAAUAGAUGAGCCUAAGUCGGAUUAGCUAGUUGGUGGGGUAAAGGCCUACCAAGGCGACGAUCUGUAGCGGGUCUGAGAGGAUGAUCCGACACACUGGGACUGAGACACGGCCCAGACUCCUACGGGAGGCAGCAGUGGGGAAUAUUGGACAAUGGGGGGAACCCUGAUCCGGCCAUGCCGCGUGUGUGAAGAAGGCCUUAUGGUUGUAAAGCACUUUAAGCGAGGAGGAGGCUACUCUAGUUAAUACCUAGGGAUAGUGGACGUUACUCGCAGAAUAAGCACCGGCUAACUCAGUGCCAGCAGCCGCCGUAA